GAUGAACGCUAGCGACAGGCUUAACACAUGCAAGUCGAGGGGCAGCGGGGUGUAGCAAUACACUGCCGGCGACCGGCGCACGGGUGCGUAACACGUAUGCAACCUACCUACAAGAGGGGAAUAACCCGGCGAAAGUCGGACUAAUACCGCAUAACACAGGAGUCCCGCCUGGGCAUAUUUGUUAAAGGAGCAAUCCGCUUGUAGAUGGGCAUGCGUUCUAUUAGAUAGUUGGUGAGGUAACGGCUCACCAAGUCAGCGAUGGAUAGGGGUUCUGAGAGGAAGGUCCCCCACACUGGUACUGAGACGCGGACCAGACUCCUACGGGAGGCAGCAGUGAGGAAUAUUGGUCAAUGGGCGAGAGCCUGAACCAGCCAAGUCGCGUGAAGGAAGAAGGAUCUAUGGUUCGUAAACUUCUUUUACAGGGGAAUAAAAAAGGGAACGUGUUCCCUAUUGUAUGUACCCUGUGAAUAAGCAUCGGCUAACUCCGUGCCAGCAGCAGCCGCCGUAA
rnacentral:rRNA from 1 species